rnacentral:rRNA from 1 species
CGGGGGGGCAAGCGUUGUUCGGAAUUACUGGGCGUAAAGGGCUCGUAGGUGGCCAACUAAGUCAGACGUGAAAUCCCUCGGCUUAACCGGGGAACUGCAUCUGAUACUGGAUGGCUUGAGUUUGGGAGAGGGACGCGGAAUUCCAGGUGUAGCGGUGAAAUGCGUAGAUAUCUGGAGGAACACCGGUGGCGAAGGCGGCGUCCUGGACCAACACUGACACUGAUGAGCGAAAGCCAGGGGAGCAAACGGGAUUAGAUACCCCGGUAGUCCUGGCCCUAAACGAUGAAUGCUUGGUGUGGCGGGUAUCGAUCCCUGCCGUGCCGAAGCUAACGCAUUAAGCAUUCCGCCUGGGGAGUACGGUCGCAAGGCUG